rnacentral:rRNA from 1 species
AGUGAACGCUGGCGGUAGGCCUAACACAUGCAAGUCGAACGGCAGCACAGUAAGAGCUUGCUCUUACGGGUGGCGAGUGGCGGACGGGUGACGAAUACAUCGGAAUCUACUUUUUCGUGGGGGAUAACGUAGGGAAACUUACGCUAAUACCGCAUACGACCUACGGGUGAAAGCAGGGGAUCUUCGGACCUUGCGCGAUUGGAUGAGCCGAUGUCGGAUUAGCUAGUUGGCGGGGUAAAGGCCCACCAAGGCGACGAUCCGUAGCUGGUCUGAGAGGAUGAUCAGCCACACUGGAACUGAGACACGGUCCAGACUCCUACGGGAGGCAGCAGUGGGGAAUAUUGGACAAUGGGCGCAAGCCUGAUCCAGCCAUACCGCGUGGGUGAAGAAGGCCUUCGGGUUGUAAAGCCCUUUUGUUGGGAAAGAAAAGCAGCAGGUUAAUACCCCGCUGUUCUGACGGUACCCAAAGAAUAAGCACCGGCUAACUUCGUG